ACAGAGGGGAAAAAAAACCUCCAUCCCAUCUUGUAUGUGAGUUGCCGUAGGCUACUGUCUUCUUGAUGGUGUGUUGAAUAGGUUGAAAUUUUAGGAUAUUUCGUUUGUGUGUUUUCCUUAUUCCCAACAUCAGCUCCCAUGCCCCUGUAUUGGGCCUUAGCCAGCUUCUUUGUCUUUCAUCUAGGAACUUUUCUUUUACGGGUAUUAGGACAGCUGGAGGAAAGAAGACAAUUCUGGCUGUGAUAGGAAAGUGUCACAGUUUGGCAGGCACUGAAGUCAAACAGCAUCUCUGAGCCUCACUCCUGGAGUUCUAACACAACCUACUAAUAAAAAGAAGAUGCAAGUUUGCCCUGUGCAUCCUUGAAGAGACAGAACAGAUGCUAGUUAUGACCCUCUGGGAUCCGUCUGAGAGGAAAAAGCAAAGCCAACUUCAUGACUCCAUUUAUCUCCGCCAGGCCUGUAAGAUGAAUUCAGCCAUGCCUGUGUCACAAAUUGCUGUCAGGUCUAAGAGUUGAAUGUGAGUAUUUGUCAUCUUCAGAGCUGAAAACUCUGCCUGCCUGAGGAGAAUAAUUUUUGUGCCAGCAAACAGUCCAGUGCAGCUUACCUUCUGUUUGGGAAGCGGGUGCAAUUGAAAAUUUGUCUCCUGACUCUGCUCAAACUUUUCUCCCCCCUGCAAGGCUACUAGCAUAAUCCUCACUAAAAUGGUUCACGCUGUGAUGGCUUCUCAAACACUGGCUGGACUAUUGCAAGGCUUGAGGAAGCUGCUCUAAUAAUCUUUUAGAACAGAGAGAUAUUGACCUUCAUGGCCAGCAGUGACCUUCUGUUGUGCUAUUCUCCAGCCAAAACUGGUGUCAUUUUGACCUUCAGAUCCUUUUCCGUCCUCUCUGUCAAGAAGUUCAUGAAAAUAAGAAAGCAAAUCAAACAAAGACAGACUAGAUUUUGAUGAGAGAUAGGGUUCUGCACUUCAUUAAGUGUUACAGCAGCUCUCCAGAGUCUUAUCUGUGCUUUGCCGUGGCGAAACAAAACUAUGACAAUGAAUUUACGAUAGUUCUACUCUGAUAGGCCUUGACCUGGCAGAGUACUUAGAUGAGCGUAAACUUUAAGCCUAUCGAGUGCAAUGCUCCUAUGCUUGAUUGCCUCUUUGCUGAAGGCGGGCCCGAGCCCUGCCCAAGCUGCUGCUCAGCGCUGAGAUCCCAAGGCAGGGAUCACUCAGAAUGUGGCUCAAAGAAAAAGAAGAUAAGAAAUAAGAGUUGCCUGUUCAUUGCAGCUUCACUGAAAACACAAGGGGUGUUUGUAGGGAGCAGGGACAGCACAAGAGUGGCAGAAGACUGAGCUCUUUCGAGCACCUGAGAAUAUAUUUCAAGCAAGAGAAAGAAAAAAACAGACACUGAAAAUUCUGAAGCAGCACUUGAGUAUAUUUUUUCUGCUGCUGGGUGAUGUAUCACCUUUCUUAUUGAUUUUUUUUCUUUGCAUUGAGAAUAUAUAUUAUCUUCCCAUCUUUCUUCAGUGAAGUAAAUCUAAAAUGAAAACAAACCACACAUUUGGCCAACCCUGCCUUAAAAUUACACAUCAAGAACGUUUCCAGUGACAAAUACUUUCAAGGCAAACAAACUGAGGAGAAAUUAAAAAAUCUCUGUGGGGCAUAAAUAUGUAAUUACACUCACACAGGGAGCAUUUUAUCAGGUAAACCAUCCUACUUUGUUAAUUGAAAUGCUGCAGCACAAGGUUUUUUGACAAAGGGGCUGAAUAUGCAUGCGUAUUUCUCACUGCUGCUGUUCCAUUUCUCUCUCUCCAUUCCGAGUGUGGUCUAGUGAUGGGGUAGUGGUCACUCCUGGUUUCUUUGUUCAAGUAUCCUCAUUUCUACCACCUCCACCUUUAUGUUAGCAGGGAAAGUUUUCCUCUCACUGGAGGCACAGGGUUUUUUUUGUUGAUUUGAAGAAAAAAAAAAAAGAAAAGGAAAAUGAAGUCUUUUUCUUAAAUUAAAAUCUCCAGAAAUGAUAAAACCUUGAGAAUUAAAAAAGAGAAAAGAAGGAGUAGAAAGAUCUCCAGGAAGUAAAUGCAACUGUGCUGACCUAAUUACACUAAAACAAUCUUACCAGGGUGAAGAUUGGUUAUGGGAGUCGAUGGGAACAAGGCUGAAGUUUGGGAUGGGAGAGAUUUCAGGUCCACGCACACCAAGUCUUUGUUAUAGAACCAUUUGUCAGUGUUUAAUGGCCAUGGGCAACACUCAGUGAAAUAUUUACGGGGUGAUCACUUCCAAGAAGCAUGGCUGCUGGCAGGCUGUUUAAUUGUCUAAAUGCAAGCUGCAAUGCCAGCUGUGGUUUUGCUCAUCCAUCUGUGAUGGUUCUACCAUGCCAGUUCUCCUGCCCUGAGAAGGGAAGCGGGAUGUAUCAUCCGCAGGAAGGAGGGGUAUGAGGUAGUCCCAUACACGCACCGACGGCUAACGCUCGCUUGGCAAUGGUGACCAGUGUGCUAACCAUGAUGCCAGUGAGGCAGUGAGAGGAGGCAGAGCCAAGCCUUCCUCUAGAGCAGAUACAGAUGCUGGCAUCUUGUUCAGGGUCUCUCCUCCCUGCAGACCAACGGGGAAUAAUAUGUUGUUCUUCUCCUUCGUGACCUACUGCCUACUCUGGUCUUUCUGUUGCAUUUUCUCUCUCCCUGAUAUGCAGUACAGAAUGCUCUGGUAGCACAGCCUUUAGCCAGCGUGGCUUGAGGAAACUCUGCAAGGUUUCAGGGCUUUUCUUAAUGUACCUGAGCUUUGGAUGUUCCAUACUCCCUUUUGGCCUCUUGCACAUCUCUGCUUUUCUGCAUAUGUUCUUCUCUUUCAUGGCCCUCUUUGCAAUGCCCCACAGGUAUAAUCCUGACUCCAUUUCCAGUUCUUUGCCCAGGCUCUGCUGUUUUGUGCGAACAAAAGAAGAUUCACUAGAGCAACAGAGGGCUUGACAUUUCCAGAGAAAGAGGGCUUUACCAAACCACGUAUCUCUCAGGGGUUUCCUGAUGAGGCACCCUGCUCUACCAGUGUCCCUGGAGAAGGUCGGUGACACUCCCCCAACUCUGACGGAUAUGACUGUCCUGGUAUAUCCCAGAACCACACUUGGCUUUUCCACAGCCUCGGCAUAUUGGGGUCCUGUUGGCAUCCUGCUAAUAGUGUGUCCAGGUCUUCUGUGUCAUCACCAGCUAAGAGGCCUUGCCCUGCAGCAGACCUUUUUAAACGGCCCUUGCAGCUGUGGCUCCCGAGAUCACCCAGGGUUUCCACUUCUCCUUAUCCCGAAGAUGCCUCUCAACUGCAUAUCCUCAGCAAACUGAAUUUGCAUCUCCCCAUGUUUCUCCCUCCAGCACAUCCUCCCACCUCUGAAGAAAUAUCUUUCCAUUUCUUUUUCCACUCAGAUGAAUGUUAGCUGUUUAAUUUCACUUGGACUCCUUUGCCUGGGAGAUACAGGAACAUAAAACCUGUCUGUGAGAAUUGUUAACGUGAUGUAUCAGUGUUAAGAGGUGUCCUUUGCUUGGCCAUCUCUACAAGGACUUGCCUGUCUGAGCUCUCCAAUUAUGUGAUUUUAAUUGGUUUUUAAUUUGGGGAGAUUAUAAAAUAUACUUAAAUGGAAACCACAGAGAUGUUGUUAAUAUGUAGGUUAGAAAUUGCAAACAAAGUGAUAAGUUACUGAAUUGCUUCUGAGCUCAUACAGGCAAAUUUGCAUUUACCUUCCCAUGUAUUUAAUGUGUAAUAUACCAGAAAGUCCAUAAUUAGAAAAUUAUAAGGAUUUAAAACCUAUAUUGUAAAAAUACAUUUCUGUGGCUUUGAAGGUUGCAAACAUGCUUUCCAUGUAGAGCUGCAUGUUGCAUUUAUGCUGAUUUAAUCAUUCAUUAAACAUUAGUAAGAGGCCAAUUAUGCUGUUCAAGAAUAAGAUGUUUUACGAGAAAAUGACAAAAAGAUACAUGUAAUCAUUGAAAUGCCAGUUUACAAUCAGAUAGGAUGGGAAAUAAUCCCUUUAGCAAGCUUAAGCUUUUACAUAUUAAUGGCAACAUUGGGGAGAGUGCAAAGAGGGCUUUAACAGCCUUCCGGCCUUCCGGUCCUAGUCAGAAAGCAAGUGCUUAUGAUGCUCUGGACAAAAAUUUAAUGUGCUAUCUUAUUCUGUGGGAGCUAUGCUAUGGGAUGUGCUUUUUAAUUACCCUACCUGUAGUUUAGCACAUGUGCGUCUGUAUAUGGAUACACAAAUAUAGACAAAAUAGGGGCUAGAAAUACCACUCUGGCUCUUUAAAGAGAUAUAAAGACAUGUUCUGGAGAGGCAAGAGAAUAAAGAUGCUCUGGAACAUUUCCGUGCUUAUAUUUGUGAAGUCCUAUUUCAACCACUUUGUGGCAAAGAGACAGUGGAGUGAGGACACACCUGUGAAGUUGUGACUGCUGUAAAAGGUGGGGAUAGGAGUGGAUUUUUCCACUUCUCUUCCAACACAAGAAUUAGGGACACCAAAUGAAACUCCCAGGUGGUAGGUUCAAAAUAAACAAAAGGAAGUGGUUCUUCACAGAGCGUGCUGUUAAUCUGUGGAACUCCUUGCUGCAGGAUGCUGUGAAAGUCCAAUGUUUGCAUAGGUUCAAAAAGCAGGUGGAAAGCUAUGGAAAAAUUCAUCUGAGGGCUAGUAAAUGCAAACUUCCUCUGGCUCUGGGAGUGUCUCAGUUGCAAAUUUUUGCAGACUGGGAAAACACGCUAAAGAAAUCAUUGUGUGCUAGUCUUGUUCAUAAACCCUUCCCUAGCCAUUUGCUUUUUGUGGCUGUUGGAUGCAGGACACAGAAUUAGAUGGACCUCUAAGCUGAUCCAGCAUGGUAGUUCUUAUGUUUUCAUGUGUGUGUGUAUAUGUGUAAGUAAAAGACAUUUUAAUAAAUCUUUUGGUGACCUUGCACAGACCCUUAUGAAAAAAACAUUCAGUAUUAAUUCUCUCAUAUGUUCUGUGUAGCAGAAAUCUAAAUAAGAUACGUCUAGCAAACCAUGGACUCCCACGUGCUGCACUGCUGGAGGAACUGUGGCUACUUUGGUGCAUAUGAGAUCAGAAACCAGAAAAGCCUACUCAAGGCCAAGAAGCGUCUAUCAUCCUACGGAAUUCCCAGAUUAUCUCCAAGAUGUGACCUCCCCUAUCCUUUCCUCUAAGUGCACCUGCACUGAAGACUAAACACAGUUGGGCAAAGAAAAUCCCAUCAUGAUCUGAGCAAAGACUUAACCCUCAUGAAAAAUCAAGGACAGGAAGUCAGAACCUGGGGACUUAUUUGUGAUGAAGAAAAAGGAUGUGGGACCCAGAGCUACUGGGGCAAGAACGGAAACUACAGAGAGUGGGGAACGCGGUGAGCUGAAGGAGGGUUCCACAUAAACUUCAGCCAAGAAGUAUUCCAGCUUCCCAGGGCCAUGCCGAACAUUGAUGUUCUCCGACUGCUUUACCAACUUGCGUGUCUGGCUGCCCAAACGUACAGCCCCCUUUUCCCAAAUCCAGUUGGUCAGCUGUCCCUGUUGCCAUGCGGGCCCCUGGGCAACAGACCCGAGCGGCGCUGUUGAGAGGGACAAAAAUGUAUUCCAGCGAUAAUAUUGAAGGGUUACAGCUGCCAAACACACUGUGUCUGUGGAAACACCUGUUGAGUAGCUGUUGCAGUGGGAAGAGCAAGAUGAAGAAAGACAGCUGUCAGAGUGCCAGCAGCAGUAGGAAGCUCUACCAAGACUGCUUUGUGCCAGUUAGAGAUGUGCCAAAUUAUUUGGCUGCAUUUCAAAUAUCUGGGUGUCCACUACAUUUGCCAGCUAGCGCUCCCAGGGAAUACUUCAGCAUUAACACCACUACUGCCAUGCUCCCACUGCUCUUUCACUUUAAUUUCAGUCUUUACACUUCUGUUUUUAUUUCUGGUUCCUUCCCACAUCUGUGGCAUGCAAAGGAAAGCCCAAUAUUGCAGUGCAGAGCCUGAAAUAAGGCCUGGGAUCUGCAAUUGGUAGGAAGACAAAGCACCACUGUAAAGGUUUUUUGGCAAUUCACUUGUGAGAUCUGCUGGGUUAUUAUUUUCUGCCUCUCCUUUUUUUCCAGAGAAUAAUAACUUUAUCUUUUGCAAACAGUUUGCUAACCUGAAUGAUUCUCCUGCCUGCACAUCUUGAUGUUUCUGGAACUGCAGAGCUCAGUUCUGACAAGUUUACAGUGGCAUUGGGGCUGCAAUUUUAAAGGUAGGUCAGCAAGAAAACUAGUAAGGUAAAAAUACGGUGGCGAAAUGCUACAGCGAAAUACUUCCCAAUGCUUUGCAUCUCUUUUGGAGGGCUUGUGUUAAAGACUACCUGGCAUGCAUUAAGAGCUCUCUCUAACAUAGAGGAGGAAAUGUGAGUGAGAGGGAUUGUAGUAACGAGAAGGUGCUUUAGAUACUCCUAGAUGCUUCCUCCUAGAGUGCCUAAAGCAUGUAGGCUCAUGUCCUGGAUCAUAUGCCCCCAGUUCUUCCUUACUUUCCUUUCCAUCAAGUUUGUCUACAUCAUCAAAGCUCUGUAAAAAGGCCAGAGUGUAAAUCUGUCACUUGUCCCCAGUAAGAACUACAGAUAUGCCCAAAGCAAGCUUGUCUUUUUAAGAGAAAGCUGAAAUGGACAACUAAAUCUCAAAGAAUUAAAUUAUUGACUGAAAAAAUCCUGUAACUGUUCCGGCUUGUCAUCUUGCCCCAUUGAGUACUAGACAGGCCAAGAGACAUCUGAAUUGUAGUGAACGGCUCUGCCUAUAGCACUGCAGCAGUUUCACUGUCUUCCUGUUUGACACAACUGUCCAUUCAGUCGGGGAUUUUUUUUAAAUUCCAAAAUCCUAAAAAUGUCAGAAAUACCCCUUGACCAAGAAGCUAAUACAAAAGCUAUAACAAAAAGCUCAUGGAGCUUCCCAGGAAGGCUUUCUGUUGAGUAUUUUUUGCAGAUGCGUAUGUGGCUCUUUUUGGUGUGAAAGAUAGUAUGGGAGAAAGGACAAAGGAGCUUGGCAGAAAACUUAACAAGCAGGUGACAGAAAGUAAAAACUGCCUGUAUUGAAGCUGGUUGCAAGAGAGGAACCUGGACAAAGUCA